GAAUUUGGUACUCUGGGUAGGUUGUUGAACUAAUUUCUUUUACAUUACUCAUUAGCUGCUUUGACUUUGUAGUGCUUAAAUGAAUGGUCUCCAUAGAAGUUUCCAUGAAGAGAAAGGGGUAAUCCUGUUGCCUUUAAAUUGACAAUGCCUAAAUCUGCAGCAGCAUAUAUUGUUGAAGCCUAAUUGCUAAUUAGAUAUUGACAGUGAUUGGCGGAUUCUAUGAACUCUUAAACUGGAAAUUGUGCAAACAUGACAAAGUGUUUCUAAA
rnacentral:misc_RNA from 1 species